rnacentral:rRNA from 1 species
UACGAAGGGGGCUAGCGUUGCUCGGAAUCACUGGGCGUAAAGGGUGCGUAGGCGGCUCGUUAAGUCAGGUGUGAAAUCCUGGAGCUCAACUCCAGAACUGCCUUUGAUACUGAAGAUCUUGAGUUCGGGAGAGGUGAGUGGAAAUGCGAGUGUAGAGGUGAAAUUCGUAGAUAUUCGCAAGAACACCAGUGGCGAAGGCGGCUCACUGGCCCGAUACUGACGCUGAGGCACGAAAGCGUGGGGAGCAAACAGG